CACUCGCAUAUGUAGCACCACGUGUGUGAAUUUUGCUAGGAUAAGAUGCAGCAAUUGCUGGGAAAGUUUUAAAAAAUUGUCCCUUGAAGCAACUUCUUACAUGCAAGUGUGAGUGCGUGCGCUCAUUUACCACGAUGAUGUUUAAAUGAAACCGUGUUGACACCAAGAUCGUGCGGGGCGUUGUGCGUUUGUCUCAGGUUAAAAAGUGAACACGUUUCUGUGUCAGCUAUGAAAUGGGAAUUUGAUCAAUAGCCCUACUACAGACAAGCAACAGCAGGAAUGAGUUUAUAAAAAUGAUAAGAAGGAGCUUUGUGAAGUCUUUCACCCAAGAUACAAAGUCAUUUACUUAAUGAUGAAACUCGAUGAGACUGAAGAUCCCACUGGAACGGCGAUGGACACCUGGGCCAGAAUUUAGCCGGUUCUUUUGCGUUUUGCUUUUGCUCCGGUGCAAAAUUCUCAUGGUAACUGGUUAAAUUACAGUAUUCAGGACUGACGCUGCGACUUCUGCAAACUGGAAACGCAUCACUGUACUACAAGUAAUUCAUUUGGAUUAGUCAGUCUGGUCCAGUAUUGUUUUGGUCCAGAAAGCAGGAGGACACCACUUUGUAACCUGGAAACAGGAGGAUCAAAACCCUCAGAUCCCCUGCUGCAGUCAUCUCAAGAAAAGUAUUGAACCUGACUUUCACCAGGAAAACAUACAGCUGAAUAUUUCACAAAACAAAUGUGUGCCAGAAUGUGCCCAUUCAGCGUGGAACUGGCUAUGGAAUGACUUUCCAAUGGAAACGAUGACUCUGGAUUUUUCUCACCAGCCAUGGAAAGUGAGAGACAGGGGAGGAUGUGGAUGUCCUGAGGAGGAGCAAGUGAAGAGCAAAUUGAGCAACCUGUAACAAAUCAUGAAUAAAACGGAA